rnacentral:rRNA from 1 species
UACGUAGGGGGCAAGCGUUGUCCGGAUUUAUUGGGCGUAAAGAGCGUGUAGGCGGUUUUACAGGUCCGCUGUGAAAACGCGAGGCUCAACCUCGCGCCUGCAGUGGGUACGGGCAGACUAGAGUGCGGUAGGGGAGAAUUGGAAUUCCUGGUGUAGCGGUGGAAUGCGCAGAUAUCAGGAGGAACACCGAUGGCGAAGGCAGAUCUCUGGGCCGUAACUGACGCUGAGGAAGCGAAGGCGUGGGGAGCGAACAGG